rnacentral:rRNA from 1 species
UACGGAGGGUGCGAGCGUUGUCCGGAAUCACUGGGCGUAAAGGGCGCGUAGGCGGUUGGGGUAGUCCGUGGUGAAAGCUCGUGGCUCAACUACGAGUCGGCCAUGGAUACUCCUCGACUUGAGCACUGUAGAGGCAGGUGGAAUUCCGGGUGUAGCGGUGGAAUGCGUAGAGAUCCGGAAGAACACCGGUGGCGAAGGCGGCCUGCUGGGCAGUAGCUGACGCUGAGGCGCGACAGCGUGGGGAGCAAACGGG